GUACACUCCUACGGGAGGCAGCAGUGGGGAAUUUUGGACAAUGGGCGAAAGCCUGAUCCAGCCAUGCCGCGUGCAGGAUGAAGGCCUUCGGGUUGUAAACUGCUUUUGUACGGAACGAAACGGCCUUUUCUAAUAAAGAGGGCUAAUGACGGUACCGUAAGAAUAAGCACCGGCUAACUACGUGCCAGCAGCCGCGGUAAUACGUAGGGUGCAAGCGUUAAUCGGAAUUACUGGGCGUAAAGCGUGCGCAGGCGGUUAUGUAAGACAGUUGUGAAAUCCCCGGGCUCAACCUGGGAACUGCAUCUGUGACUGCAUAGCUAGAGUACGGUAGAGGGGGAUGGAAUUCCGCGUGUAGCAGUGAAAUGCGUAGAUAUGCGGAGGAACACCGAUGGCGAAGGCAAUCCCCUGGACCUGUACUGACGCUCAUGCACGAAAGCGUGGGGAGCAAACAGGAUUAGAAACCCUGGUAGUCCCAU
rnacentral:rRNA from 1 species